rnacentral:rRNA from 1 species
GACGAACGCUGGCGGCGUGCUUAACACAUGCAAGUCGAACGGAAAGGCCCCUUCGGGGGUACUCGAGUGGCGAACGGGUGAGUAACACGUGAGUAACCUGCCCUUGACUUCGGGAUAACUUCAGGAAACUGGGGCUAAUACCGGAUAGGAAUCCUUGCUGCAUGGUGGGGGUUGGAAAGCUUCGGCGGUUUUGGAUGGACUCGCGGCUUAUCAGCUUGUUGGUGGGGUAGUGGCUUACCAAGGCUUUGACGGGUAGCCGGCCUGAGAGGGCGACCGGCCACAUUGGGACUGAGAUACGGCCCAGACUCCUACGGGAGGCAGCAGUGGGGAAGAUUGCACAAUGGGCGGAAGCCUGAUGCAGCAACGCCGCGUGCGGGAUGACGGCCUUCGGGUUGGAAACCGCUUUCAGCAGGGGCGAAGCUUGUGGUGACGGUACCUGCAGAAGAAGCACCGGCUAACUACGUG